AACGAACGCUGGCGGCGCGUCUUAAGCAUGCAAGUCGAACGGUAAGAGAGGAGCCUAGCUCUUCUCCUAGAGUGCGGACUGGUGAGUAACGCGUGGGUGACCUGCCCUAAAGAUGGGGAUAGCUAGUAGAAAUAUUAGAUAAUACCGAAUGUGCUCAUUUACAUAAAGGUAGAUGAGGAAAGGGAGCUACGGCUCCGCUUUAGGAUGGGCCCGCGUCCCAUUAGCUAGUUGGUGAGGUAACGGCCCACCAAGGCAACGAUGGGUAUCCGGCCUGAGAGGGUGAACGGACACAUUGGGACUGAGAUACGGCCCAAACUCCUACGGGAGGCAGCAGCUAAGAAUCUUCCGCAAUGGACGAAAGUCUGACGGAGCGACGCCGUGUGAAUGAAGAAGGCCGAAAGGUUGUAAAAUUCUUUUGCAGAUGAAGAAUAAGGAUAAGAGGGAAUGCUUGUCCGAUGACGGUAGUUAUGCGAAUAAGCCCGGGCUAAGUCGUAACAAGG
rnacentral:rRNA from 1 species